UGAGGAAUAUUGGGCAAUGGGCGAAAGCCUGACCCAGCCACGCCGCGUGAGUGAUGAAGGCCUUCGGGUCGUAAAGCUCUGUGGGGAGGGACGAAAAACCUUCAUUCGAAUAGGGUGAAGGCUUGACGGUACCUCCUUAGCAAGCACCGGCUAACUCUGUGCCAGCAGCCGCGGUAAUACAGAGGGUGCGAACGUUGCUCGGAUUUACUGGGCGUAAAGCGCGUGUAGGCGGACUCGCAAGUCGGUUGUGAAAUCCCUGGGCUCAACCUAGGAACUGCAUCCGAAACUGCUUGUCUUGAGUAAUGGAGAGGGUGGCGGAAUUCCCGGUGUAGAGGUGAAAUUCGUAGAUAUCGGGAGGAACAUCAGUGGCGAAGGCGGCCACCUGGACAUUUACUGACGCUGAGACGCGAAAGCGUGGGGAGCAAACAGGAUUAGAUACCCCCGUAGUCC
rnacentral:rRNA from 1 species